rnacentral:rRNA from 1 species
GACGAACGCUGGCGGCGUGCUUAACACAUGCAAGUCGAACGGAAAGGCCCUGCUUUUGUGGGGUGCUCGAGUGGCGAACGGGUGAGUCACACGUGAGUAACCUGCCCUUGACUUUGGGAUAACUUCAGGAAACUGGGGCUCAUACCGGAUAGGCGCUCCUGCUGCAUGGUGGGGGUUGGAUAGUUUCGGCGGUUGGGGAUGGACUCGCGGCUUAUCAGCUUGUUGGUGGGGUAGUGGCGUACCAAGGCUUUGACGGGUAGCCGGCCUGAGAGGGUGACCGGCCACAUUGGGACUGAGAUACGGCCCAGACUCCUACGGGAGGCAGCAGUGGGGAAUAUUGCACAAUGGGCGGAAGCCUGAUGCAGCAACGCCGCGUGCGGGAUGACGGCCUUCGGGUUGUAAACCGCUUUCGCCUGUGACGAAGCGUGAGGGACGGUAAUGGGUAAAGAAGCACCGGCUAACUACGUG